rnacentral:lncRNA from 1 species
GACAUUUGGGUGCAGAUGUUGAAAUGGGGUGAAAUUGUUGAGACCCCUUAAGUUUCUGUUAGGUUAAGGGGCCUUUGGGCCAGCUGUUGGGCCCAUUCUUUUCUCCUGCCACCGCACCAAUGCUAUUCACACCACCAUUCCCUUUCUGCAAACAAAAACAAAGAGGCUUGGACCUGACGGGUAGCUACUAUCUGCCACCUCCAACUUCGCUGUUGCACCGUUAGGGUCUGAACCAAGAAGUUUCUGGCUGCACCCUUACUUUUA